GACGAACGCUGGCGGCGUGCCUAAUACAUGCAAGUCGAACGAAGCUGUUUUAACUGGUGCUUGCACCGACUUAAACAACUGAGUGGCGAACGGGUGAGUAACACGUGGGUAACCUGCCCCAAAGCGGGGGAUAACAUUCGGAAACAGAUGCUAAUCCCGCAUAACCACAGAAACCACAUGGUUUCUGUGUCAAAGAUGGUUUCGGCUAUCACUUUGGGAUGGACCCGCGGCGUAUUAGCUAGUUGGUAAGGUAAUGGCUUACCAAGGAAAUGAUACGUAGCCGAACUGAGAGGUUGAUCGGCCACAUUGGGACUGAGACACGGCCCAAACUCCUACGGGAGGCAGCAGUAGGGAAUCUUCCAUAAUGGACGAAAGUCUGAUGGAGCAACGCCGCGUGAGUGAAGAAGGUUUUCGGAUCGUGAAACUCUGUUGUCAGAGAAGAACGUGUGCGAGAGUAACUGUUCGUGCAGUGACGGUAUCUGGCCAGAAAGCCACGGCUAACUACGUGCCAGCAGCCGCCGUAA
rnacentral:rRNA from 1 species